AGAGUGCGUAAUAGCUCACUGGUCAAGUGAUCGUGCGCCGACAAUGUAGCGGGGCUCAAGCACACCGCCGAAGCCGCGGACCCAUGACAUGGUUCCCUUCAUCGUGCGCCUUGUGCGUGUGGUGGCAGGGGUUGUGGGUGGUAGGGGAGCGUCCUGCACCGGGGGAAGCCUGUGGGUGACUGCUGGUGGACGGUGCGGGAGUGAGAAUGCAGGCAUGAGUAGCGAUACUAGGGUGAGAAGCCCUAGCGCCGAAUGACCAAGGGUUCCAGGGCCAGGCUAGUCCGCCCUGGGUGAGUCGGGACCUAAGGCGAGGCCGACAGGCGUAGUCGAUGGAUGACGGGUUGAUAUUCCCGUACCGGCGAAGCACCGCCCAUGCUGACGCGCGGGUGCUAACCCACGCCCAGCCGCCAUACAGGCCGCAUGUGUCAGGUUCGCCUGACGGUGUGGUUGUGGUGGUGGGGUCUGGGGAUCCUCCGUGCAGGUAGGCAAGCGUGUUAACAGGGGUGACGCACAGUGGUAGCCCGGCGGACCUGAUGGCUUGGUCCGUUCAAGCGCGCAGCCCGUCCUCCAGGUAAAUCCGGGGGACUGUCUUUGAUGACGGGGGUGAGGCGUGAUGGUGACCUCACACUGGUGGGGGAUAACAGGGUGAUCCUGGGGUGCCGAGAAAAGCCUCGACGCGAUGGUGCCAGCCGCCCGUACCCUAAACCGACACAGGUGGUCGGGCAGAGUAUGCCUAGGCGCACGAGUGAAUCAUGGUUAAGGAACUCGGCAAAAUGCCCCCGUAACUUCGGGAGAAGGGGGGCCUGAUCCCUGAAGCCCCGUGCGGGCUAGGGGGGAGGGUCGCAGAGGCCAGGGGGAAGCGACUGUUUACUAAAAACACAGGUCCGUGCGAAGCCGUAAGGCGAUGUAUACGGACUGACGCCUGCCCGGUGCUGGAAGGUUAAGAGGAACCAUCAACCCCCUUGUGGGGUGAAGUGGUGAAUUUAAGCCCCAGUAAACGGCGGUGGUAACUAUAACCAUCCUAAGGUAGCGAAAUUCCUUGUCGGGUAAGUUCCGACCUGCACGAAUGGCGUAACGACUUCCCCGCUGUCUCAACCAUGAGCUCGGCGAAAUUGCAGUACGAGUAAAGAUGCUCGUUUCGCGCAGAAGGACGGAAAGACCCCGGGACCUUUACUACAGCUUGGUAUUGGCGCCCGCUAUAGCUUGUGCAGGAUAGGUGGGAGACUGUGAAGCCGUUACGCCAGUGGCGGUGGAGUCGUCCUUGAAAUACCACUCUGGUUAUGGCGUGCGCCUGAACCUGGGCCCGUGAUCCGGGUUAGGGACAGUGCCUGGUGGGUAGUUUAACUGGGGCGGUUGCCUCCUAAAGUGUAACGGAGGCGCUCAAAGGUUCCCUCAGCCUGGUCGGUAACCAGGUGUUGAGUGUAAGUGCACAAGGGAGCUUGACUGUGAGACUGACGGGUCGAGCAGGUACGAAAGUAGGAACUAGUGAUCCGGCGAUCCCGUGUGGGUGGGUCGUCGCUCAACGGAUAAAAGGUACCCCGGGGAUAACAGGCUGAUCCUGCCCAAGAGUCCAUAUCGACGGCAUGGUUUGGCACCUCGAUGUCGGCUCGUCGCAUCCUGGGGCUGGAGUAGGUCCCAAGGGUUGGGCUGUUCGCCCAUUAAAGCGGCACGCGAGCUGGGUUUAGAACGUCGUGAGACAGUUCGGUCUCUAUCCGCCGCGCGCGUGGAAACUUGAACAAGGCUGUCCCUAGUACGAGAGGACCGGGAUGGACGUACCUCUAGUGUGCCAGUUGUCACGCCGGUGGCAUGGCUGGUUGGCUAUGUGCGGGAGGGAUAACCGCUGAAAGCAUCUAAGCGGGAAGCCUGUUGUGAGAUGAGGUUUCU
rnacentral:rRNA from 1 species